rnacentral:misc_RNA from 1 species
AAGUCAUAACAAGGUUUCCGUAGGUGAACCUGCGGAAGGAUCAUUAAUAGUGCUCUCUGAUGCAAAUCAUUGAGUUAGAUCUGCUCUCCUCGCAAGAGGAGGGUUUCCAUACACACCGUGAACUGUGGCUUCGGCCAUCACAAACUGUUAGUAAUGAAUGUAAUAUCAUAACAAAAACAAAACUUUUAACAACGGAUCUCUUGGCUCUC